GUCGCUGACCGAGGUGGAGGGAGGGUGUGCGUGUGUCUCGCUCCUGUGUCCUCUCCUUACUUGGUCCCAAAGUAUUCAAAGGGUUACGUAGUGGAAAAUAAAACAACAUAGCAUUUAAAGUCACUACCCCCCCGAGAAAUUACUCCAACACUAACGCCACACCCCCCCCCACAAAAAAAAGGAGGAAAAAAAGGGGGAAAAAAAGGAAAAUGUUUGAAGCCACUGCAAUACAUUGACAGGUAUUGCAGAGAUAAAAGUAAAAUAAAGAUUGAAAUGAAAC